GGGAAGAUAAGCUAAGUUUAAGCUCAUAGGUUCAUACCCUAUUUAUGGAGAAUGCUCCUCUUCCUA
rnacentral:tRNA from 1 species